rnacentral:rRNA from 1 species
AACUGCUUUGAAGGGGAGUAAAGUGAGUGACUGUCAUCAUUGCAAGUACCCUUGGAAUAAGGACCGGCUAAUUCCGUGCCAGCAGCCGCGGUAAUACGGAAGGUCCGGGCGUUAUCCGGAUUUAUUGGGUUUAAAGGGAGCGUAGGCUGCCCGGCAAGCGUGCUGUGAAAUACAGUGGCCCAACCACUGGACUGCAGCGCGAACUGUCGGGCUUGAGGGCGCACGACGCAGGCGGAAUUUGUGGUGUAGCGGUGAAAUGCUUAGAUAUCACGAAGAACCCCGAUUGCGAAGGCAGCUUGCGGGAGCGCGACUGACGCUGAAGCUCGAAAGUGCGGGUAUCAAACAGGAUUAGAUACCCUGGUAGUCCGCACGGUAAACGAUGGAUGCCCGUUCUGCGGCCUUCGGGUCGCGGGACCAAGCGAAAGCAUUAAGCAUCCCACCUGGGGAGUACGCCGGCAACGGUGAAACUCAAAGGAAUUGACGGGGGCCCGCACAAGCGGAGGAACAUGUGGUUUAAUUCGAUGAUACGCGAGGAACCUUACCCGGGCUUGAAUUGCAGACUAAUGCGGCGGAGACGCCGCAGUCCUUCGGGAAGUCUGUGAAGGUGCUGCAUGGUUGUCGUCAGCUCGUGCCGUGAGGUGUCGGCUCAAGUGCCAUAACGAGCGCAACCCCUGUCUCCUGUUGCCAUCAGGUAAAGCUGGGCACACUGGAGAGACUGCCGCCGUAAGGUGCGAGGAAGGUGGGGAUGACGUCAAAUCAGCACGGCCCUUACGUCCGGGGCUACACACGUGUUACAAUGGCCGGUACAGAGGGAUGGUGCCCCGCAAGGUGCAUCGAACCUGAAAAACCGGUCCCAGUUCGGACUGGGGUCUGCAACCCGACCCCACGAAGCUGGAUUCGCUAGUAAUCGCGCAUCAGCCAUGACGCGGUGAAU